AGAGUGAACGCUGGCGGUAGGCCUAACACAUGCAAGUCGAACGGCAGCACAGUAGGAGCUUGCUCUUACGGGUGGCGAGUGGCGGACGGGUGAGGAAUACAUCGGAAUCUACCUUUUGGUGGGGGAUAACGUAGGGAAACUUACGCUAAUACCGCAUACGCCCUUCGGGGGAAAGCCGGGGACCAGCAAUGGCCUGGCGCUGAUAGAUGAGCCGAUGUCGGAUUAGCUAGUUGGUGAGGUAAUGGCUCACAAGGCGACGAUCCGUAGCUGGUCUGAGAGGACGAUC
rnacentral:rRNA from 1 species